UACGUAGGGGGCAAGCGUUGUCCGGAUUUAUUGGGCGUAAAGAGCUCGUAGGCGGUUUGGUAAGUCAGGUGUGAAAUCUCCACGCUCAACGUGGAGGGGCCACCUGAUACUGCCAUGACUGGAGUCCGGUAGAGGAGCACGGAAUUCCUGGUGUAGCGGUGAAAUGCGCAGAUAUCAGGAGGAACACCAGCGGCGAAGGCGGUGCUCUGGGCCGGAACUGACGCUGAGGAGCGAAAGCGUGGGGAGCGAACAGG
rnacentral:rRNA from 1 species